rnacentral:lncRNA from 1 species
UAUGCAAUGUUGUUGACAGGAGGCCUUGUCUGGAUGGCCUAGACUUUACUACCAUAUCAGAAGGGGAUAAAGUCAGAUGGAAGAGAACUUCAAAGAGUGGAAAGUAAUGAAAUCUAUGAAAAGUUGUAAUGUGAAAAGGCACUAGGCUUCACUAUGUAAUUUCUUUAGGCAGCUUGGAGGGUUAUCAUGAGGGAUGUACAACCAUUUUCUCGAGACAGGAUCUUUUGAGAGAAGCCUUAAUCCCAAAAAAGUGAGGUGCAACUGAACCGAAGAAUUUCAAGGCUAUGAGUUUGGCGGGUUGCAUGCAUAAGUUGGUAACUAAGGUCCCUGUUGUGAGAUCAAGAAAGCUUAUCGGCAGUGUGAUCUCUGAUACGCAUUUUUUUUUUUUGGGGGUAGACAGGUCUUGAAUGUAGUUCUUGUGCUGAUCUAUGAAGAACCAACAUGUUGCCGAGGUCCCCGUAUCUGUGUCCAACACAAUGGGGACAUGAUACACGCGGGAGACAUGGCAGACUACAUAUUUUAUUAAAUUUUUCUAUGGAGAAUGGUGGGGAUACGCGAGGAACACGACAGGAUAUAUUUUAUAAUUUUGAAAGCUAUUUCGGGGGCAAUUAUGUAAUAUUAGAAAAAUAUUGAAAAAAAAAUGGAAAAAUGAGGAAAUAUAUCAAUCAAUAUACAAUGUACUCUUUUUUUAAACCCUAGCCAACCACGCUCUUUCUCCGAUGGAUCCUUCAACCUCCGGAAAGCUCUAACAACUUCGAUAACCUCUAGCAACCUCCGGUGAGAUAUAUUCAACCUCACAUAGAUGCGAUUUUGUACUUUUGUUACUGAUUUUUGCAUGUUUGUUGCUGAUUAGACGUAUUUACCUAAUUUUGGUUGUUCAUACAUAAUCUAAUGAUAUAUAUAUAUAUAUAUAUUUUCGUGUUCCCAUCGUAUCCGUAUCUUGAUUUUUUGAGAAUUGUCGUGUCUUGUGUCCGUAUUUGUGUGCUACUUAGGUGGUUGACUAUAGUCCAAAGGAAGGCACUUCCGGAGUAAUUUGUAAGAUGGGCAUACAGAGAGAGCGUAGACAAUGUGAGUUGGGGUGGGAAGUAUCAAAUGGAGCAUCUCCACAUUUAGGUUCUCUAGUGAAUGUUUCUCCUUGAGGCUGCUUCUCUAGCUCCAGGGGAUUGAGCCACUUGGACCUUUAUCUCCUUUCCUCCAUGGAAGCUUUGAGCAGAAUGAUUAAAAAGGCUAGAUGGUAUGAUCACAGGUUUUAAAAUUAGAGGGAGAGGGGGGUGGGGUGGGGGGGGGUUAGAGGAGAAUUCUUUCCAAUUUACCGUUAGUUUCCCUGCAGUUUCCAAAAAUGUCUAAAACGUUUCCUCAAGUAUCCGGUACGUUUUUUUGAAGACAGAUCAUACUGGUACUGAAAACGCAUUUUGAGACGUUUUCCUGUGCAAUUGGGCUUCCUGGCAACUGCGGCAAAAAUCAUGCAAUUUAAAAAGUACAUUGGACCUUACAGGAAAAUCAACAUGUGAAAUUUCAUCAUUAAUGUUGCAAGGCCUUCCAUUUGCAUUGUUGAGUUUUUGUUUUUGAGAUUUGCAGGUUUGAUAGAAAAAGCCCAUGCCUUUCAUGUGCUUCUCUAUCCUAGAGAUCGUGAAAAUACUUUAGCUUUAAGGUUUAAUGAAACUAUAUGAAACAUUUUUAAUCUCUUAUUUUAAAAAACAUAAUUAAGAAUAACUAUACAAAAAGUUGGUUUAAAAAAAAUCACUUGUUCUUCUCUUAACCAAGAAGAGAAACAGCUAACAAAACAAAUUUGUAUACACAAAGCUUACCCCCGGAAAGUUAGUCAACUGCACUGCACACCCACAAGAUUCAGUUGCAUCAACAUUUCUGUCAUCAGAUUACAUCCUUAUGGUCUCCAUUGUCACUGCCACUAUAGUCCCUGUCAAUGUUGUGUGCCAUCCUCAAUUCUUCUUUUAGUUGAAAAAUGGCAAUCUGGUGCAUGAGACUUCUAUCUGGGGAGGGCCAGUUGUAGAAACGGCUGUAAACAAGAGAUUGAGAAACUACUUGUAGAAACGGCUUUGAAAACAAUAACGUAUUUAAAACUUAUUUUCUUACCGCUCCUUCUCCUCUGUAUCUCCUUUUGUUGUUCCACGUCCUCACCACCGUCAAUCAUCACCACCACCAUUCCUUUCUUAUCAUUUUCUCCU